rnacentral:lncRNA from 1 species
CAGGACUGGAACCAGAGAGCUGCCUCUUCCCUGGUCCUUCCUGACUCCCACAGCCGAGACAGAGGCGCCACAGCCAGGGAGGGAGGAGAGAGAAAGGAAUCCCAGCCCAGCCACUGCUCUGAGUCGUCUCAAGCUGGUCUCUCUCUUGUGGGGGUGGGGUCAGGGAUGAGGGCGUUCAAGCCCAGGGAAGGACCUUUCUCCACAACAGCAUGUAUCCAGCCUCCACUUGCUCUCUGGUGCCCACCUUAGGUGCCCGCCCCUUGGCUCUCUGGGGCAAGAUAACCUGGUGCUCGGUUUUAACCAAUGGCAGGGCCCAAGAAUCAAGGAAGAAGACAGGAGGGAGACAUCUGCCCAGUAUGGCUGGGUGGCCACAGCCCAAGGAGAAUCAGCAAGAUACCAAGCCAGGUAUCAGAGGCCUGCUUCUGCCAUCUCUGGGACUUUCCAAACCUCUGGACCUUCAUGGCUGCCCCAGGAACCUGUUUGGAAGAGUCAAGAUUCUAGCAGAGCCCAGGGAUGCAUCUUUUAAUGACAUCCAAGAAGCCUGCCAGCGGGAUGGUGCCCUUACAGCUGAGAUGAGGGCGGCCACGUCCCUGCAGGGAGACACUGAGGGUGCCACAGUGAUGGGUGCCACGAGCCCCUCCACUUCUUCAUAUAAUGGGGAGUCAGAGAGGAGCAGAAACAUCUCCCCAGGUGUAGAGAGAAAAGAUAGGGUGGUCAGGCACUGGGGACCAGGGGGAGAAAAACUGCCGAGUCAAAGCCUGCUGCCAGAUCCCCGUGUCUAA